rnacentral:rRNA from 1 species
AUUGAACGCUGGCGGCAUGCUUUACACAUGCAAGUCGAACGGCAGCGCGGGCUUCGGCCUGGCGGCGAGUGGCGAACGGGUGGGUAAUACAUCGGAACGUGCCCAGUAGUGGGGGAUAGCUCGGCGAAAGCCGGAUUAAUACCGCAUACGACCUGAGGGUGAAAGCGGGGGAUCUUUGGACCUCGCGCUAUUGGAGCGGCCGAUGGCCGAUUAGCUAGUUGGUGGGGUAAAGGCCUACCAAGGAGACGAUCUGUAGCUGGUCUGAGAGGACAACCAGCCACACUGGAACUGAGACACGGCCCAGACUCCUACGGGAGGCAGCAGUGGGGAAUUUUGGACAAUGGGCGAAAGCCUGAUCCAGCAAUGCCGCGUGUGUUAUGAAGGCCUUCGGGUUGUAAAGCACUUUUGGCGGGAACGAAAAGGACUGUGCCAAUACCACGGUUCGAUGACGGUACCCGCAGAAUAAGCACCGGCUAACUACGUG